rnacentral:rRNA from 1 species
UACGAAGGGGGCAAGCGUUGUUCGGAAUUACUGGGCGUAAAGGGCUCGUAGGUGGCCAACUAAGUCAUACGUGAAAUCCCUCGGCUUAACCGGGGAACGGCGUCUGAUACUGGAUGGCUUGAGUUUGGGAGAGGGAUGCGGAAUUCCAGGUGUAGCGGUGAAAUGCGUAGAUAUCUGGAGGGACACCGGUGGCGAAGGCGGCAUCCUGGACCAAUACUGACACUGAGGAGCGAAAGCCAGGGGAGCAAACGGG